GGCGCCCGGGCCAGUUGGUGGGGAGGGGGGCGCGGUCGGCACCUAGAGCAGCGGGGAGAGGCGCGUCCCCCUCGCGGCUCCGGGGCCACGUCUGGCCAUGCGCCCUUCUCUCAGUCUCUGCAGUUCUGCGCGGAGGCGGCUGCUCGGCCCUGCGCCUGCGCACACAGGCUCGCCCCGGCUCCCAGCUGGGCCGCGUCACCAUGGCAACGCCGGGGCUGCUGCCUGGGUCUCAGUUGCUGGGGUCUGAAGGGAUCCAGCUCUAGACGAGCUCAAGCAAAGGAAGACUCUGGGGGUUGGGAUCACCAUCUGUGAUGAGCCCCCACAAAGGCCAUAUUCACAGGGGGCAAGACAGCAGUUAGGGACAUCCGCGAUCUCCUUCAGGGGUAGACGCUUCCAGCCCUCCACCGUGUACAGGUGGGGUUCAGGCUGCAGAGACGUAGAUCAAGAGCCUCUGGCCGCCCACGGUGGAACCAGGACUCACUCUUGGGGUGCAAGCCACGCUCAGAGUUUUCGGGCCUCACUCAGUGGGAAUCGGCUUCAGUAAGGAUACACAGGCCUCGGCUGCGAAGUGCUGGCAUCCUUUAGGGUCCACAGCCCUCAUUGAUAGGGUCCGGCCUCGCUCUUACAGAUGUUUCUGUAGCCAUAACCAGACACCUACUAUUAACUGUGUUUUUGCAUAUGGUUCCUGUGUGGGUGUGAUCAGCAGUGAGAAUAGACAUCACUUCCGGAAGAAGACCUUGAUCCUGACUGGGUCUACAGGCUGGGAUGGGAUCCUUAAGGGGAUUAAACAGGAUGAUCCACGAAAGCCUUUGGAACAGAGGUUGGCCCAGAGCUGGUGCUCCCUGAAAGAUGGCGAUGAGAAUUCAUUCUUUCUUGACCCUUUUUACAAUAAUUUAAUAUAAAUAUAUAUAUUUAAUUGUCAAAUAAAUAUAUAAAUAAAGAAGGAAAUUUUAAAAAAAAGAAACCAAAACACUUCAUUUUUGUUUUGUUUUUAAUGUAGGAAGAGAGUUUAUUGCAAGGUUACCAUGGCAACUGGUCCUAGGACAACCAAACUGCUUGCUCACUCUCCUACCUGCCCCUCAGCUUUCAUUUUCCCUGCUUCUCCCUUUUCCUUUCCUUUCCACCAAAUGGGUGUCACUUUUCUCUCUAGAGCAGUGUGGUCUAAAAGAAAUAUAAUGCAAGCCCCCAAGGCAAGCCACAUGUGUAAUAUGUAAGUUUGCUAACGGCUACCUUCAAUAUAUAAAAAACAGGGGAAAUGAAUUUUAGGAAUAGAUUUUCAUUUAUUUACAUUAUUCAUUAUUUACAAUAGCCAAGAUAUGGAGCAACUUAAGUGCCCGUUAACAGAUGAAUGGAUAAAAUGGAUAAACAAGAUUCCUUCAUCUUUAUUGUAUAUUAUAAUAUAUAGAGGAUUUACACGUGUGUUUAUAAAUAAAGAAGAUUUUCUAUAUAUGUAUAUGAUUGAGUAAUAUUCCACUAAAUACAAUGGAAUUUAUUAUUUAAAGACCCAUUUUAAAAAGUAAAAAAUCUUGCCAUUUGGGAUAACACUGAUGGUACUAGAUGGUAUUGUGCUGAGCAAAAUAAGUCAGAGACAAACAAAUACUAUAUUAUUCUACUUAUAUGUGGAAUCUAAAAACAAACAAACAAAUGAACAAACAUAACAAAACAGAAACAUAGUUACAGAUACAGAAGAGAAACCAGUGGUUGUCAGGUGGUGGUGGUAGGGGUGAAGAAAUAGAAAGAGAUUAAGAUUCAGAGGCAAGUCCCGGAAGUAUACUUCAGGAGUUUCUAUUAACAGCAGUUUGACCUCCAGAGGGCAGUUUGCAAACGUGAUCUGGGCACCUGAAGCGUUUAGCGCCCCAUUUGGGAAGCCUGUGUGUAGGCUGCCAGGAACGGUCAUGAACUUUGAACUGAUCCACAUCUUCCCCUACUUUUGGGGAUCCCUCCAGGCAUUCACACCUACACAAAAAAAUCAGUUCACAGUGAUCUCAGCUCAAAACCUAACUCCAUGUAACAUACAAACACACAGCAUAGUUUUAAAACUGGUUUUCAUCACCGCUGACUAUGGCAGUUUCUAUUCUAGGGCCCCUGCCAUCCUUCUUGCAUAAUUCCAGUUUCUGUUCAUACUCAAGCCCACAUUUAUUCCCGAAAGACAGGUGCAAUGGAUCUUUGUUCCAUUUUCUGGCCGCAGAUGGAAUUCUCCCUCAUUUCUCUCCUGAUCAGAGUGAGCCAGAGCUGAGCAGGAACAUGGUCCCAGAAGUCGAGUAGAAAAUUAGAGAGCAAGGAUCAGCUAGGCAGGGCGCUGGGAACUCCAAUCUGUCCCGCCUAGCCCCUCUCUGGAUAUCUGUCCUGGAAUUAGGAUGCUCUGUUGGACAGAGAUGGGAUCCAUGACUGGCCUAGCCACUGCCUCCAAGCUGGGGAAA
ensembl:lncRNA